GGCUUGGUUUAGUUCCUCCUUUUUUUCUGUCUGACUUCACAUCCAGCCUCAAAGGAGUGACUGUGUGCAUCAGUAAAUCCAAACCAGUCUCUGAAUGUCAUUUAACAACUGUCCCUGGAGUCCUGAGCUGUCAAAACUCAGGUAGUAUACACACUGGUUUCAUAUACAUAUUUCAUACAUCCAAUUUGUAACUAUUAUAUCUAAAUUUUAACCAUCUGAUGUAAACUUGUGAGACUUUACUGGUAUUAAACAUUUACUUUUUAGUUCUAAACAGUGCUUUCCCAAAUAAUUACCUAUUCAAACUGCACUUAUUUCUGCCAUUGAUAUAGCAGAAGGUGGUAAUAGACAAGAAAUGCACAGUUUUAUACCAUCUUGCUGUUAACAUUUCCGCAGGCACCAUGGCAUUCCUACAGCUUGAACCACUGUAGUUGAAAAACCCACCUUACAGCAGGCUUGAGUAACCCCACUGGUUAAGAAACCCAUGCUGAACCAUGCACUCUUUGAACAUUACAGACCAGUUUCUCUCCUCCCCUUCAUAGCAAAAGCACUUGAACAAGCCGUGUUCAACCAGGUCUCCUCUUUUCUCAUCCAGAACAAUCUGCUAGACAGCAACCAAUCUGGCUUAAAAAAUAGCUGUUUGUCAACGAAGCUCUACGGCUGGCAAGAGCAGAAUCCAAAUAGUCUGUUCUCAUUCUGCUAGAUUUGUCUGCUCCUUUCGACAUGGUACACCACCAGAUCGUCCUUUCCACCUUCUCAACCAUGGGCAUUACGGGAACCACACUCCGCUGGUUUGAGUCUUAGCUCACAGCCUGAUGAUCCUAUGGUUGCUGCACGGAUCUCAGCCUGCCUGGUAGACAUCUCGUACUGGAUGGAAAAACACCAGCUCCAACUGAACCGAGCAAAGAUGGAACUUGUCGUUGUUACAGCGAGCCCAGCUAUACAACA